CCUACGGGUGGCAGCAGUGGGGGAUAUUGCACCAUGGGGGAAACCCUGAUGCAGCAACGCCGCGUGUGGGAAGAAGGUUUUCGGAUUGUAAACCACUGUUCGUGGUGAAGAUAAUGCCGGUAACCAUGGCCAAAGCUCGGGCUAACUCCGUGCCAGCAGCCGCGGUAAUACGUAGGGAGCAAGCGUUGUUCGGAUUUACUGGGGGUAAAGGGUGCGUAGGCGGUCUUGCAAGUCGGACGUGAAAACCACUGGCUCAACCUGUGGACUGCGUUUGAAACUGUGGGGCUUGAGUGAAGUAGAGGUAGGCGGAAUUCCCGGUGUAGCGGUGAAAUGCGUAGAGAUCGGGAGGAACACCAGUGGCGAAGGCGGCCUACUGGGCUUUGACUGACGCUGAGGCACGAAAGCGUGGGUAGCAAACAGGAUUAGAUACCCUUGUAGUC
rnacentral:rRNA from 1 species